GGACCCGCACAAGUAGUGGAGCAUGUGGUUUAAUUCGAAGAUACGCGCAGAACCUUACCAACACUUGACAUGUUCGUCGCGACUUUAAGAGAUUAGAGUUUUCGGUUCGGCCGGACGAAACACAGGUGCUGCAUGGCUGUCGUCAGCUCGUGUCGUGAGAUGUUGGGUUAAGUCCCGCAACGAGCGCAACCCUCACUUUUAGUUGCCAUCAUUAAGUUGGGCACUCUGAAAGAACUGCCAGUGAUAAGCUGGAGGAAGGUGGGGAUGACGUCAAGUCCUCAUGGCCCUUACGUGUUGGGCUACACACGUGCUACAAUGGUAUCUACAACAGGAAGCGAAACUGCGAAGUUAAGCAAAUCCUUAAAAGAUACCUCAGUUCGGAUUGCACUCUGCAACUCGAGUGCAUG
rnacentral:rRNA from 1 species